rnacentral:rRNA from 1 species
CUGCUGCCUCCCGUAGGAGUUUGGGCCGUGUCUCAGUCCCAAUGUGGCCGUCCGCCCUCUCAGGCCGGCUACUGAUCGUCGCUUUGGUAGGCCGUUACCCUGCCAACUGGCUAAUCAGACGCGGGUCCAUCGUAUACCACCUCGGUUUUUCACACUGUCCCAUGCGGAACCGUGCGCUUAUGCGGUAUUAGCACCUAUUUCUAAGUGUUAUCCCCCUGUAUACGGCAGGUUACCCACGCGUUACUCACCCGUCCGCCACUAAGUUAU